rnacentral:rRNA from 1 species
GAUGAACGCUGGCGGCGUGCCUAAUACAUGCAAGUCGAGCGAACAGACGAGGAGCUUGCUCCUCUGACGUUAGCGGCGGACGGGUGAGUAACACGUGGAUAACCUACCUAUAAGACUGGGAUAACUUCGGGAAACCGGAGCUAAUACCGGAUAAUAUAUUGAACCGCAUGGUUCAAUAGUGAAAGACGGUUUUGGUGUUACUUAUAGAUGGAUGCGCGCCGCAUUAGCUAGUUGGUAAGGUAACGGCUUACCAAGGCGACGAUGCGUAGCCGACCUGAGAGGAUGAUCCGCGACACUGGAACUGAGACACGGUCCAGAACCCGACGGGAGGCAGCAGUAGGGAAUCUUCCGCAAUGGGCGAAAGCCUGACGUAGCAACGCCGCGUGAGUGAUGAAGGUCUUCGGAUCGUAAAACUCUGUUAGUAGGGAAGAACAAAUUUGUAAGUAACUAUGCACGUCUUGACGGUACCUAAUCAGAAAGCCACGGCUAACUACGUG